AUCCGGAAUCAUUGGGUUUAAAGGGUACGUAGGCGGUUUAGUAAGUCAGAGGUGAAAGCCCAUCGCUCAACGGUGGAACGGCCAUUGAUACUGCUAGACUUGAAUUAUUAGGAAGUAACUAGAAUAUGUAGUGUAGCGGUGAAAUGCUUAGAGAUUACAUGGAAUACCAAUUGCGAAGGCAGGUUACUACUAAUGGAUUGACGCUGAUGGACGAAAGCGUGGGUAGCGAACAGG
rnacentral:rRNA from 1 species